GUUUGGCAGUUUUGGUACAUUUCAAAUUCAUGUUGGCAUUAGCACCACAGAAGAAAAAAAUUUACUUGCAAGGAAAGGUGGUUACUUUCAAGGAGAAUCAUGAAACUAGAGAUGAUUUACCAUGAACCAUUUGGGAACCAACUUGUUAGCUGCCUUAUAACUAUCAUCCUUCUGAUGAAAUAACAGCAUUACAGCUGUUAGUUACGUCAAGACAUUAAUCUCAAGAUGCAAGUACUGAGCUUUAACGGAUUUCAAUUUACAUAAGCAAGACAACCAAUUCUGUUGUUGAGGAGAAAACCAACUACACACCCAGCUAUGAAUGGUAAAAUAUGUGUAAUUGAAUCUAAAUUAAUUUUAUUUUUAUGGUUUAAAGGCUUUUCGUUCUUCCGUUCACGUUCAAGGCUACAACUCAUCGAA